rnacentral:rRNA from 1 species
GAUGAACGCUGGCGGCGUGCCUAAUACAUGCAAGUCGAGCGAACGGACGAGAAGCUUGCUUUUCUGAUGUUAGCGGCGGACGGGUGAGUAACACGUGAAUAACCUACCUAUAAGACUGGGAUAACUUCGGGAAACCGGAGCUAAUACCGGAUAAUAUUUUGAACCGCAUGGUUCAAAAGUGAAAGACGGUCUUGCUGUCACUUAUAGAUGGAUCCGCGCUGCAUUAGCUAGUUGGUAAGGUAACGGCUUACCAAGGCAACGAUGCAUAGCCGACCUGAGAGGGUGAUCGGCCACACUGGAACUGAGACACGGUCCAGACUCCUACGGGAGGCAGCAGUAGGGAAUCUUCCGCAAUGGGCGAAAGCCUGACGGAGCAACGCCGCGUGAGUGAUGAAGGUCUUCGGAUCGUAAAACUCUGUUAUUAGGGAAGAACAUAUGUGUAAGUAACUGUGCACAUCUUGACGGUACCUAAUCAGAAGGCCACGGCUAACUACGUG